UCCGGGCGUGGUAGUGCACGCCUGUAAUCCCAACAGCUCAGGAGGCUGAGGCAAGAGGAUCUCAAUUCAAAGCCAGCCUCAGCAAAAGCAAGGCACUAAGCCACUGAAUGAGACCCUGUCUCUA
rnacentral:sRNA from 1 species